rnacentral:rRNA from 1 species
GACGAACGCUGGCGGCGUGCUUAACACAUGCAAGUCGAACGGAAAGGCUCCAGCUUGCUGGAGUACUCGAGUGGCGAACGGGUGAGUAACACGUGGGUAAUCUGCCCUGCACUCUGGGAUAAGCCUGGGAAACUGGGUCUAAUACUGGAUAUGACCUUUCUCCUUAUGGGGUUUGGUGGAAAGUUUUUCGGUGUAGGAUGAGCCCGCGGCCUAUCAGCUUGUUGGUGGGGUGAUGGCCUACCAAGGCGACGACGGGUAGCCGGCCUGAGAGGGUGAUCGGCCAAAUUGGGACUGAGAUACGGCCCAGACCCCUAGGGGAGGCAGCGGGGGGGAAUAUUGCACAAGGGGGGGAAGCCUGAUGCAGCGACGCCGCGUGGGGGAUGACGGCCUUCGGGUUGUAACCCGUUUUCAGGGGGGACGAAGGGUAAGUGACGGUACCUGCAGAAGAAGCCCCGGCUAAAUAUGU